rnacentral:rRNA from 1 species
CCUGAUGCAGCAACGCCGCGUGAGGGAUGACGGCCUUCGGGUUGUAAACCUCUUUUAGCAAGGAAGAAGCGAAAGUGACGGUACUUGCAGAAAAAGCGCCGGCUAACUACGUGCCAGCAGCCGCGGUAAUACGUAGGGCGCAAGCGUUAUCCGGAAUUAUUGGGCGUAAAGAGCUCGUAGGCGGUUUGUCGCGUCUGCUGUGAAAACCCGAGGCUCAACCUCGGGCCUGCAGUGGGUACGGGCAGACUAGAGUGCGGUAGGGGAGAUUGGAAUUCCUGGUGUAGCGGUGGAAUGCGCAGAUAUCAGGAGGAACACCGAUGGCGAAGGCAGAUCUCUGGGCCGUAACUGACGCUGAGGAGCGAAAGGGUGGGGAGCAAACAGGCUUAGAUACCCUGGUAGUCCACCCCGUAAACGUUGGGAACUAGUUGUGGGGUCCUUUCCACGGAUUCCGUGACGCAGCUAACGCAUUAAGUUCCCCGCCUGGGGAGUACGGCCGCAAGGCUAAAACUCAAAUGAAUUGACGGGG